UUUCGUAUUCUGGUUUGAGAGUUUGUCAAUUGCAACAUGAUGGCGGCUGGAGGAGGUUUUACGUUUGGACUAUCUCCAGCUCCAGCAUUCGGUGCCACAAGCACAGGAUUCGGUGGUGCUAGCCAAGGAACUACAAGUGGGUUUUCCUUUGGAGGUUCUACCAAUGCUGCACCUGCAACUGGUGGUUUCUCUUUUGGCGGUGCUACCAAAACGACAACAGCUGCAACUGGUGGUUUCUCUUUUGGCAGCGCUGCCAAAACAACUGCUGCCACUGGUGGAUUUUCCUUUGGUUCUUCCACACCGUCUUCAAGUGGAUUUGGUGCUACUCCUAGUACAGGGUUUUCUUUUGGUGUAUCACCAGCCACUACUACCACGGUCCCAAACCAGGGAGCAACUGCAACAGGUUUUUCCAUGGGUGGACAAACAGCAACUCCGGCUCCAGCUAUGGGAGGAUUUUCUUUCAACACGCCAACUUCUAACCCAGCACCAACAGGAUUUUCCUUAGGCUCCUCUGGUACAACUGGUUUCGGAACAACCAGUGGCGGAGGUUUUAGUUUCGGAACUCCUGCAGCUACAACAGCAGCAGCAGCUACAAGUGGGACAACUGCAAAUACUGGGUUCUCUUUCGGUAAUCCAGCUUCUACUGGAGGGUUUGGUAACCCGGCGUCUACCGGAGGGUUUGGGUCAUUUGCUGGAACAGCAGCACCACCACCAGCAGCAACAACAACAACUGCUAGUAAUUGGCUUCUUGGUGCAAAACCACAGAGCACUGUAGCUCCAACUACUAAUACACUAGGAUCUGGUACAACUGGAAGCUUCUUUGGGCAACAGCCAACUACCAGUGGUCUUGGAGGUUUUGGAACUACAACGACAACAUCAUCACCACUAUUUGGAAAUUUUUCUUUUGGUAAAACAACAGCUGCUACAGGUCUAACAAGCACCGCGCCUGCAACUGGUUUUUCUUUCUCUGGUUUGAGUGGUCCUGCAACUACCAGUGCUGGUUUUGGUGUGCAAUCUUCAACACUUGGAGGCAGCAGUGGCUUCGGUCUUGGAACUUCAGGUUUUGGCUUGUUUUCAACCACAACAAGCACAACAUCUAUUACAGGCAGCAUUCCUAGUUCUCAAAUAGCUUCAAAAGGCUUGGGCGGUGUUGAUCCAAAAGUGUCCAUUGCAGCUUCAGAUGGAACUGGACCUAAUGGUAAACAAGCGAAUUCCAAAGUUUUGAAAGAAACACAAUUACCACAGCAGCUGCUAGUUUGUGUAGAACCCCUAAAAAAAUAUAUAAAAUCAGAGAAAGCUAUACGAGAAAACAUUUCUCGAAUGUCUACAAAAUCUAUGAUAAAGGUACAGACAGACCUAACAGCAUUGCGACAGAUCCUUGGAAGUGUGUCUAAUGGUGUACAGAGGAAUGCUGUGUUGAUUGAAAAACUGAAGAAAGAGUCAGUACAGGAACUGAAAAAUACUGAAAUGGGUCAACGAACAGAAGAUAUGUCUGCUGUUCUUCAAGACGAGAAUGUUGCCCCAACUGAAUAUUUUCAGAGUCUCUUUGAAGAUUUUGAAAUCCAGAUGAAAGCCUAUAAAGGUGAAAUCCAGAACUUGGAGAGUCACAUCCUUUCCCUACAUCAACCAAGUAGGCUCUCUCCUGAAGAAUUAACAAUGUUGCUUCACAAAUCACAUGAAAAUUUCCUUGCACUUGCAGCCCACUUUCACCAAGUUCAUGAAUCUGUAAAAACUUUAAAAGAGAAAUACCUGAAUUAUCGACGUAUAUUCCUCGGAGACACGAAAGAUGUGUUUGAAAGCAAACGGAAGUUAACAAAACGUUUGGAGAUUCCCGGCAUUGAAUCUCAGCAAGGACCAAACCCCUUCACAGGGUUCCCCAGCACCACUGCAAUUGCUCUUGCCGCUGCUCUUAGUCGUAACCAACAGGCUCCUUCUGGACCACCCAAUAUUGGUCUUGGUACAAACACUCUUGGUCAACACAGGUGUUUUGGUACCCCAUUCAAUAAUCAGGGUAGUUUGUUUGGAAAUGCAGGCACUGGCACUACAUUUGGAACAAAUAUGAACAAUACUAGUCUAUUUGGAAACACUACUGCCAAAACAGGAUUUUCAUGUUUUGGCCAAGGCUCCACUAGUGGCUUUUCCUUUGGUUCCAAUACUGCUGCUGUGAAACCUCUAGGUUGAAAAUAUUAAAUUCCUGUGAAAUUUUGGUCAUGAGAGAACCAUCAUUGUUCUUUAAUGCAGUGCAUGUUCUCUUGUGGCCUUUUGACUUCUAGUGCAAGAACGAUCCUCAACACACCAGGAAGUCUAUUUGGUACAUCAGGAAGCACAACAACACAGUCGGGGCUACUCGGUACACAACCCAACACU
rnacentral:misc_RNA from 1 species